GGUGGGGGUAGUAGUAGUAGUAGUAGUGGUGAUGGGGGUAGUAGUAGCAGUAGUAGUGGUGGCGGGGGUAGUAGUAGCAGUAGUAGUGGUGAUGGGGUAGUAGUAGUAGUGGUGGUGGGGGUAGUAGUAGUAGUAGUAGUGGUGGUGGGGGUAGUAUAAGUAGUAGUGGUGAUGGGGGUAGUAGUAGCAGUAGUAGUGGUGGUGGUGGGGGGUAGUAGUAGUAGUGGUGGUGAUGGGGGCGGCGGUGGCAGCGUUGGGGUAGUGGUGGUGGUAGUAGUAGUAGUAAUAGUAGGGUGGUGGUGGGGGUAGUAGUAGUAGUAGUAGUGGUGGUGGGGGUAGUAGUAGUAGUAGUAGUAGUAGUGGUGGUGGGGGUAGUAGUAUCAGUAGUAGUAGUUGAUGGGGCUUUCUGCACAGUACACACUAAGAGGUAUUGAAAACGCUCUACUUUAUGUUUGAUUGAGGGAGUGGGCCACGGUCAAUUUCUCAAUCUAGAUAUUCAUUGGAACAUGCUAUAUAGAACCUGUUGC
ensembl:lncRNA